rnacentral:sRNA from 1 species
CGCUGAGCUCGAUUGCCCACUUAGCUACACGUCCUGAUUGGCUUGGACUGUGUAAGAUGGCGCGGAGUGGCAUGGAUCCCAUUACUACGAUGGAAUGGGAUUGAAAAU